ACAGCCCCCCACCCCGACCCACCUUCUCCCACCUCCCUCUGCCGCUCCGAUUCCAUCCAGCCCGCCCCCACCCCCACUCCCCGGCGGCUACAUUUCGAUGGAUCUGGCUGUAUCCAGACCAGUCGUCCCCUAGCCACCUUCCUCUCGCACCAGAACGGGCCACAACCCCUUCCUGGAUCCAUGGCGGUCGCUUGCCCCUCCGCACCAAACCAUCGCCGGUCAGGGACCAAGGCGUCGCCGGUCCUGGCGAGCACCUCCGCGCACCCGCCGUCCACCCCACGCCAUGGCUUCGCUCCUGACUCCUUGGAUCCCUGGUGACCUCCUGCUGGCUGCCACGGCUGGAUACAUCCUUCCCACCCCUGGAUCCGCAGCGGCCCUGCAUCACCGACCUCCGCCUGUCCUGCGCCGGCGCCCUUGGAUCCACAGCGGCCCUGCAUCACCGAUCUUCCUGGCCCUUCCUCCGCUGGAUCCACCCGCCCUGCCACCUUCCACCAUGUCAACGCCGCCGGGGGGCAAGGUCUUCCCCUCCCUCUCUGUCAGGGCGGCCCCAUCGAGCAACUCCCUUCCCGUAUCGCCGGCGUGGCUGCAGUACACUCCUUGCUCGCUGCAGUCCGCACGGUGGUCUCUGAUCCGCGGCGUGCAGUGCACCUCGCCGUGCGAGUGCGGUUUAGAAGAGUUUUUUCGUUUUAUUCUCGAUUUUGCUUAUGCAGUUCUGCUAGAUCCCGCGAGCAGUGCGCCGCACCCCCCGAUGUGGUUCAUCCAUGGCCACCUCGCGCGAUCUCCGCGAGCAGGUCAACUUUGUGCUGGACCUCGGGUGGGCAGGUGGACUGCACGACGCAUGGAUAGCGGUGGUGCUCGGGCGGCGCCUCAUGCAGCUCCUUCCUGUACCGGCUUUGCGCCCAGUGCGGCUCGGUUGGCGCUGCCAUGAAGCUCGGGAGUGCAGCUCGCAUGGACGUGCAGUGUGGAAACAUGUGUGAAGGAGAAAAAAAAGGAUAUCAUUGUUUUUCUGAAGUUCGGUUUUAUUGUUUGAGAAAACACUUGUGUAUGAUGCGAGCUGGCUGUGUGCUAACAUGUGUCGAGAGGUUCA